rnacentral:rRNA from 1 species
UACAGAGGGGGCAAGCGUUAUUCGGAAUUAUUGGGCGUAAAGGGCGCGUAGGCGGCUUUGCAAGUGACGGGUGAAAUCCCUCGGCUUAAUCGGGGAACUGCCUGUCAAACUGCAUGGCUUGAGACCGGGAGAGGUGAGUGGAAUUCCCAGUGUAGCGGUGAAAUGCGUAGAUAUUGGGAGGAACACCAGUGGCGAAGGCGGCUCACUGGACCGGUACUGACGCUGAGGCGCGAAAGCGUGGGUAGCAAACAGG